rnacentral:rRNA from 1 species
CCCCUACGGGGGGCAGCAGUGAGGAAUAUUGGUCAAUGGGCGGGAGCCUGAACCAGCCAAGCCGCGUGAGGGAAGAAGGUACAGCGUAUCGUAAACCUCUUUUGUCAGGGAACAAAGGCGGGGACUAGUCCCCGGAUGAGGGUACCUGAAGAAAAAGCAUCGGCUAACUCCGUGCCAGCAGCCGCGGUAAUACGGAGGAUGCGAGCGUUAUCCGGAUUUAUUGGGUUUAAAGGGUGCGUAGGCGGACUGUCAAGUCAGCGGUAAAAUACGGGGGCUCGACCUCCGCCCGCCGUUGAAACUGACGG